UACGGGGGGGGCACGCGUUGUUCGGAAUUACUGGGCGUAAAGGGCUCGUAGGCGGCCAACUAAGUCAGACGUGAAAUCCCUCGGCUUAACCGGGGAACUGCGUCUGAUACUGGAUGGCUAGAGGUUGGGAGAGGGAUGCGGAAUUCCUGGUGUAGCGGUGAAAUGCGCAGAUAUCAGGAGGAACACCAAUUGCGAAGGCAGCUAGCUGGGACGUGACUGACGCUGAGACGCGAAAGCGUGUGGAGCAAACAGG
rnacentral:rRNA from 1 species